CGAAAAAGCGGAAACAGAGGAAAGGUCUGGACAGGCUGACAACGUUCAACCCCGCCCCCUGCCCUGUGGCCGCCGCCAUCUUGGGUGCUGCAUCACCGAUGACGGUCUCCGAGCUGGAAGGACCCUUCGAGACUAAUCCCAGUUCUGUGACCAGGAAACUAAGUGCCAGAGAAGGAAAGGGAUUUUGUCCGGAGCCACCCACGUUCAGGUUACUCACAGGAUUUCAAAUUUCACCACGACCCUAUGAGAGGCGAAUAAGGAUUGCCAGCCACAUUGUGCAGGUAAGGAAA